CACAGAGGAUCUCCAUUUACUGUGGAGGCACUGUUGUGAACUGCACUGGAGAAGUGAUGCCUGAGAAGGGUCCUGGUUGCAGGUGACUGUGGAUGUGGGACUGAGCUGGUUCCAGCGUAAACUGGCCCAGGCGAGACGCAGCAAAGACCUGCUCUUCCUCC